UUCGCAAUGCCCGAAAGGGUGACGAAGCGACGCCGCGUGUGGGAAGAAGGCCUUCGGGUUGUAAACCACUGUCGGGAGUUAAGAAGUGUAAGGGGGUUAAUAGUCUCCUUACUUGACGUUAGCUCCGGAGGAAGCCACGGCUAACUCUGUGCCAGCAGCCGCGGUAAUACAGAGGUGGCAAGCGUUGUUCGGAAUUAUUGGGCGUAAAGAGCACGUAGGCGGCCCUGCAAGUCAGCUGUGAAAUCCCUCUGCUCAACGGAAGAACGGCAGUUGAUACUAUAGGGCUCGAGUGCGGGAGGGGAGAGUGGAACUUCUGGUGGAGCGGUGAAAUGCGUAGAUAUCAGAAGGAACAUCGGCGGCGAAGGCGACUCUCUGGCCCGUAACUGACGCUGAGGUGCGAAAGCUAGGGGAGCAAACGGGAUUAGAUACCCCGGUAGUCCUAGCCGUAAACGAUGGGCACUAAGUAGAGGGGUU
rnacentral:rRNA from 1 species